rnacentral:lncRNA from 1 species
GGAGCCUGGAGUGGUGGCACAGAUCUCCUGAAACCAUAAUUUGGGAGGUGGAAACAGGAGGAUGGGGAUUCCUGGCUAGCUCUGGCUACAAAGCAAAGCAAAACAACAACAGGGUAUGUGGGGAGUGUGAGGAGUUGGCUUGGCAAGAGUGCUUGCCACUCUUACAGAAUACCUGGGUUUGGUUCCUAGCACCCACAUGCCAGCUCACAACCAGUAGUAACUCCAGUCCCAGGGAAUCAGAUACCUCCUGGCCUCUCUGCCCACAAGCAAGUGCUCACACGCA